GAUUUCGAUUUCCGUAGGUGAACCUGCGGAAGGAUCAUUGAAUCGAUCAAACACACACCGCGAACACGCGCGACGCGACCUCGUUUGUUGUCCGGGAUCGCGUCGUCGUCGUCGUUGUUGUUUCCGUUCCGUCGACAGCUAUCACUGCUGUGGUCGGCAACGCACUCCACACGUGUCAAACGCCACUCUGAAGCCGACGUCUCGUGUCGUGUCUUGGGGGGGUUGGUCGUGGGCUUCGCGCUCCGCGUCCCCCCACCGCCACGACGAGACACCG
rnacentral:rRNA from 1 species